ACGCCGUUUGUAACAAAAUUCAGCCCUUCUAAUUACACGAAGGAAGUAAAUGAAGACGUCACGGGGGCAUGUCAAACGGGCUGCGUGACCUUUGACCACACUUGUCCCUCACAGUGCAUGCAGGGCCAUGUUGUUAUUGUGCAGUCUGGCUCCUAAGCUAGCUAGCUGUACCUUGCUGGUCACCUUCAAGAUUAUACUGCAGGGGAGAUGUCCUGGAGUUACCUGUGCAUGUGUGAUAAUAGAAUCAGACUGAUGCUAAUACAACGAGUGCAGAAGGCAGCUGGAGUGUCUUCAUCACCAUAGCUACUUGUACAAGAUAAUAGCACACCCACGUGGCAUGGUGGCUUGACAGUGACGUUAGCUGAGCUGAAACAGUGUCUGCAGACUGUAGCAGGAUCACUGGAAUCAAAGUCAAAGACGGCUAAAGUGGAGUUUAUGCAUAGCAGGAAAAGCAAACUGUUAAUUGCUAAGGCAUUUGAUGAUGUGAUGAAUAAUGUGUCCAAGGAGAAGUUUGAUAUAACUGCUUAUGGUUCAACAGCUGGAUAAGCCAAUAAAGUUGUUAUAACAUUUGAAGGCGUACAUUGUAGCCCUGACCAAAACCUCUUAGCCGGGCUAUUAAUUAUACACUCAUGUAGCUAAAGUAGUUGACAGUCCCACUUCCCACUGGGAAUGGGUCAACUUCCUAUCUAGAAUGUGUGACAUGAUUUUGAGUUCUAGCAUGGGAAUACUAUACAACGUACCUCCUAAAGUUACAAAGAGUGUGUAGGGGGAUACGUAUAUAUGUACGACAGGGUCAAUAAGGUCCACUUUUACCAUGCUGAAGAGUUAGCUCCUCUUUUUGAUCAGUUAUUUGUGGAAACUUUUAACAGGGGAAGGAUGAAGUGCGUGAAUGAUAACCCCAUGUGAUAUUUUAUGACCUUUUGACUGUUUCAUUGUCAUACCCCAGUGACUAGUGAAGUACGCUGUAAAUGUCACAUGAUAUUGGUCCUUCACUCUCAUUGAUCAUAUUGAUUCAUUGGUAGCUGACCAGUUCAACUCCAACCCUUCAACCCUCCUGGCCUGGAAUUGAGGCUACUUUUGUUGUAGUUGUGGUGCACUGUGGCCGGUGUGAAGUCUAUAAUUAUAGUAUUCCAGUAUUUCAUACCCCACCCCCUAGCUAAUUACUGAAAAGUUUACUUUGCGCCUAUUUCACCGUACAUAUAAUUAUAGGUUAUAGUCGUAAAUAUCGCAUAUAUAUAGCCGAUAAUAUUAUAGCUUUGUAUUUAUGUCCAUGCAUUGGGUAAGUGUGUCAUGGUGGAAUGUAAUUUCUAUAAGCAUGCACACGUUGUUAAUUUGCUUAGUCUUAUACGUACACUAUUGGUCUUCUCACCCCCCCCCCACACACUCAUUAUUUUAACCAUGUAUUUGACUAUGUUUCACCAUGAUAGUGUACAAUGAUGUACUGGUAUAUAUACAAUUGUAGAUCCUGUACUCGUUCAUUUUAGUGAGUGCACCACUUUCUGAUUGACUAUAAAAUUCAUCUAGAUGUACAUACAUUCUUCCAUUGCAGAAUUGAAUUGCCAACAAAAGAGCAUGUAGGAAAAGAGUGUGUGGUCGAAAUAAUGAUGAUGAUGAUGAUGAUACUGUGUGCAAAGAAACUGCCACAAAAUAUAUUCGUAAAAGGAGUUCUUCACUAAAAAAGAGGGUGUUUCAAUGUUUUUAUGACAGAAAUAAGGCUGCAUCAGAAAAGUGGAAAGAAAUUAAACAAAGAUGUAUACUCUUGUGUUACCAAAAUCUGCUGACCGAAAGAGAUUAAUUGCGAAGCCACAUUUAACAACAGCUGAACAGAAAAUAUUCGCUUGCUGUGGAGACUUAGAGGCGAAAGUUCCCUAUAAGUAUCAGAUCGGAGCAUGUUGGACUGUCUCGUGGUGUCUCCCUCUUUCAUCCCUCUGUUUUACCUCUACCUCCACUUAAAAGAAAUUUAUGACACACUUCCUUUGAUCAAGUUUUUUGGUGUACCUCCAAAACUGCUCCUCAGGCUGAAUUUGAUCAGUCAUAAUAAUUAUUUCAAGGGCCAACUCACUUCAUCGUCUAGCAGCACCUUAGUUGGUCAUACUACAUUGUUGACUGUCUCAGAUCAAGACUGCCUUAGUAUACUGUACCUAUAAUGGCUUCACCAUGCACAAUGUCAAUUGUUGUUUACUACUUUACAUCACUACCGUAUAGAGAGUAAUUUUUGUGGGUUAAAAUAUUCAUUAUUUUCUUGCUUGG